CGGCAACAGCUCAAAUUUGAAAGCUGGCCUUCGGGUCCGCAUUGUAAUUUGUAGAGGAUGCUUUGGGGCAGCCGCCUGUCUAAGUUCCUUGGAACAGGACGUCAUAGAGGGUGAGAAUCCCGUAUGUGACAGGACAUGGCACCCUAUGUAAAGCUCCUUCGAC
rnacentral:rRNA from 1 species